rnacentral:rRNA from 1 species
CUUCGAUGGUACUCUACUCGGAUAACCGUAGUAAUUCUAGAGCUAAUACGUGCCACAAGGCGACUUUUGUCGUGGUAUAAAUUGGAGAUACAAACCAAUAUUUGGUGAUUCACGAUUUCUUUUCUGAUCGCACUUUGUGCGACGCAUCGUUCAAAUUUCUGACCUAUCAACUUUGGAUGGUAAGGUAUUGUCUUACCAUGGUUGUGACGGGUAACGGACCGUGGGUGCGGGACUCCGGAGAGGGAGCCUGAGAAACGGCUACCACAUCCAAGGAAGGCAGCAGGCGCGCAAAUUACCCAAUCCGGACACCGGGAGGUAGUGACAAGAAAUAGCAAUAGAGGGCCCGAUGGGUUUUCUAAUUGGAAUGAGAACAAGGUAAACAGCUUAUCGAGGAGCCAGCAGAGGGCAAGUCUGGUGCCAGCAGCCGCGGUAAUUCCAGCUCUGUAAGCGUAUACCAAAGUUGUUGCAGUUAAAACGCUCGUAGUCGGAACUUGGCGGGCGACGCAGGGCGUCUUUGCGGACGGAUCUGUAUCGGCCGCCUUUGUGGAGGGGGGCUUAGUGGUGCUUUAUUGCCUCGCUAAGUCGCUGCCACCGUUUACUGUGAAAAAAUUGGAGUGUUCAAAGCAGGCGUUUGCCUUGUACACAUUAGCAUGGAAUAAUAGAAUAGGACCUGGUUCUGUUUUGUUGGUUUGUGAGAAUUAGGUAAUGAUUAAGAGGGACGGUUGGGGGCAUUUGUAUUCUGCCGUCAGAGGUGAAAUUCUUAGAUUGGCGGAAGACAAACAGCUGCGAAAGCGUCUGCCAAGGACGUUUUCAUUGAUCAAGAACGAAAGUAAGGGGAUCGAAGACGAUCAGAUACCGUCGUAGUCUUUACUAUAAACGAUGAGGACUGGGGAUCGGGCGGCGCUGCUUUAUGGCCCGCCCGGCACCCUUCGGGAAACCAAAGUGUUUGCUUUCUGGGGGGAGUAUGGUCGCAAGGCUGAAACUUAAAGGAAUUGACGGAAGGGCAUCACCGGGUGUGGAGCCUGCGGCUUAAUUUGACUCAACACGGGGAAACUUACCAGGUCCGGACAUAGUGAGGAUUGACAGAUUGAGAGCUCUUUCUUGAUUCUAUGGUUGGUGGUGCAUGGCCGUUCUUAGUUGGUGGAGUGAUCUGUCUGGUUAAUUCCGUUAACGAGCGAGACCUGGGCGUGCUAGCUAGGCGCCGUUACCCCUUUUGGUAGCGAGGCUUGCCUUCCUAGACGGACUGCGGGCGUCUAGUCCGCGGAAGCUCCAGGCAAUAACAGGUCUGAGAUGCCCUUAGAUGUUCUGGGCCGCACGCGUGCUACACUGAGCGGGUCAACGGGUGAGGAUAGGCGAGAGCUUUUCCUAAUCUCUAAAUCCGCUCGUGCUGGGGAUCGAGGCUUGCAAU